UACGAAGGGGGCUAGCGUUGCUCGGAUUGACUGGGCGUAAAGGGCGCGUAGGCGGUUCGUACAGUCAGACGUGAAAUUCCUGGGCUCAACCUGGGGGCUGCGUUUGAUACGUGCGGACUUGAGUGCGGAAGAGGGUCGUGGAAUUCCCAGUGUAGAGGUGAAAUUCGUAGAUAUUGGGAAGAACACCGGUGGCGAAGGCGGCUCACUGGUCCGGUACUGACGCUGAGGUGCGAAAGCGUGGGGAGCAAACAGG
rnacentral:rRNA from 1 species